CCAGGACAGGAGGCUGGAAGAGGAGGGAAGAGCAACUAUGUAAUGAUCUACAGGAAUUACUCCCGGCUGAAGAAAUGGCAUAUGGAAAGAAUGGCAGUUAAGAGGUACAAAGGGAGAAAUAUCUACUGUGUAACAGGAGUGUAUUGCAACAGUUCCAGUGAGAAAUAAAAAUGGCUGAAGAAAAUCAAUAACAGUGGAAGCGGCUGGUGAAGAAAAAAAAGAAUGCAUGUUUAAUAUUGAGAGGUACAGUUGUCCUCCGGUACCCAUGGGUUAUUGGUUACAGGACCUCUCUUAGAUGCCAAAAUCCAUGGAUGUUCA
rnacentral:lncRNA from 10 species